rnacentral:rRNA from 1 species
UUUAUGGAGAGUUUGAUCCUGGCUCAGGAUGAACGCUGGCGGCGUGCCUAAUACAUGCAAGUCGAGCGAACGGACGAGAAGCUUGCUUCUCUGAUGUUAGCGGCGGACGGGUGAGUAACACGUGGAUAACCUACCUAUAAGACUGGGAUAACUUCGGGAAACCGGAGCUAAUACCGGAUAAUAUUUUGAACCGCAUGGUUCAAAAGUGAAAGACGGUCUUGCUGUCACUUAUAGAUGGAUCCGCGCUGCAUUAGCUAGUUGGUAAGGUAACGGCUUACCAAGGCAACGAUGCAUAGCCGACCUGAGAGGGUGAUCGGCCACACUGGAACUGAGACACGGUCCAGACUCCUACGGGAGGCAGCAGUAGGGAAUCUUCCGCAAUGGGCGAAAGCCUGACGGAGCAACGCCGCGUGAGUGAUGAAGGUCUUCGGAUCGUAAAACUCUGUUAUUAGGGAAGAACAUAUGUGUAAGUAACUGUGCACAUCUUGACGGUACCUAAUCAGAAAGCCACGGCUAACUACGUGCCAGCAGCCGCGGUAAUACGUAGGUGGCAAGCGUUAUCCGGAAUUAUUGGGCGUAAAGCGCGCGUAGGCGGUUUUUUAAGUCUGAUGUGAAAGCCCACGGCUCAACCGUGGAGGGUCAUUGGAAACUGGAAAACUUGAGUGCAGAAGAGGAAAGUGGAAUUCCAUGUGUAGCGGUGAAAUGCGCAGAGAUAUGGAGGAACACCAGUGGCGAAGGCGACUUUCUGGUCUGUAACUGACGCUGAUGUGCGAAAGCGUGGGGAUCAAACAGGAUUAGAUACCCUGGUAGUCCACGCCGUAAACGAUGAGUGCUAAGUGUUAGGGGGUUUCCGCCCCUUAGUGCUGCAGCUAACGCAUUAGGCACUCCGCCUGGGGAGUACGACCGCAAGGUUGAAACUCAAAGGAAUUGACGGGGACCCGCACAAGCGGUGGAGCAUGUGGUUUAAUUCGAAGCAACGCGAAGAACCUUACCAAAUCUUGACAUCCUUUGACAACUCUAGAGAUAGAGCCUUCCCCUUCGGGGGACAAAGUGACAGGUGGUGCAUGGUUGUCGUCAGCUCGUGUCGUGAGAUGUUGGGUUAAGUCCCGCAACGAGCGCAACCCUUAAGCUUAGUUGCCAUCAUUAAGUUGGGCACUCUAAGUUGACUGCCGGUGACAAACCGGAGGAAGGUGGGGAUGACGUCAAAUCAUCAUGCCCCUUAUGAUUUGGGCUACACACGUGCUACAAUGGACAAUACAAAGGGCAGCGAAACCGCGAGGUCAAGCAAAUCCCAUAAAGUUGUUCUCAGUUCGGAUUGUAGUCUGCAACUCGACUACAUGAAGCUGGAAUCGCUAGUAAUCGUAGAUCAGCAUGCUACGGUGAAUACGUUCCCGGGUCUUGUACACACCGCCCGUCACACCACGAGAGUUUGUAACACCCGAAGCCGGUGGAGUAACCUUUUAGGAGCUAGCCGUCGAAGGUGGGACAAAUGAUUGGGGUGAAGUCGUAACAAGGUAGCCGUAUCGGAAGGUGCGGCUGGAUCACCUCCUUUCU